GUGGGGAAUAUUGCACAAUGGGCGAAAGCCUGAUGCAGCAACGCCGCGUGAGGGAUGACGGCCUUCGGGUUGUAAACCUCUUUUAGCAGGGAAGAAGCGUGAGUGACGGUACCUGCAGAAAAAGCACCGGCUAACUACGUGCCAGCAGCCGCGGUAAUACGUAGGGUGCAAGCGUUGUCCGGAAUUAUUGGGCGUAAAGAGCUCGUAGGCGGUCUGUCGCGUCUGCUGUGAAAACUGGAGGCUCAACCUCCAGCCUGCAGUGGGUACGGGCAGACUAGAGUGCGGUAGGGGAGAUUGGAAUUCCUGGUGUAGCGGUGGAAUGCGCAGAUAUCAGGAGGAACACCGAUGGCGAAGGCAGAUCUCUGGGCCGUAACUGACGCUGAGGAGCGAAAGCGUGGGGAGCGAACAGGAUUAGAUACCCGGGUAGUCC
rnacentral:rRNA from 1 species